rnacentral:rRNA from 1 species
ACUCAAAUGAAUAGACGGGGACUCGCACAAGCGGUGGAGCAUGCGGUUUAAUUCGAUGCAACGCGAAAAACCUUACCAGGUCUUGACAUCCCGGUGACCGGACUAGAGAUAGUUCUUCCCUUCGGGGCACUGGAGACAGGUGGUGCAUGGUUGUCGUCAGCUCGUGUCGUGAGAUGUUGGGUUAAGUCCCACAACGAGCGCAACCCUUAUCAUUAGUUGCUAACAUUAAGUUGAGAACUCUAAUGAGACCGCCGGUGAUAAACCGGAUGAAGGUGGGGAUGACGUCAAAUCAUCAUGCCCUUUAUGACCUGGGCUACACGCGUGCUACAAUGGCUGGUACAAAGAGUCGCAAAACCGUGAGGUUGAGCAAAUCUCAUAAAACCAGUCUCAGUUCAGAUUGUAGUCUGCAACUCGACUACAUGAAGUUGGAAUCGCUAGUAAUCGCAAAUCAGCAUGUUGCGGUGAAUACGUUCUCGAGUCUUGUACACACCGCCCGU